ensembl:lncRNA
CUUUAUUAUAGCCAUAGUACGUGAUGUGCAUUGAUUACGUUCCACAUAAGUAGCGUUUUCUCGCUCAGACUAGUAGGAACUGACAGUACUCCCACUUGUAUGAGACAGUAUGAAGAAGCAUGCAGGCUGUGGCAGAAAGGAGGUGUGCUUGGCUUUUCAACUCUUAAAAAUUAAAAUCAAUACAGGCACAGGAAGUCGGUUGUAAAACCCUGUUACCAGGGAGGAACGGAAACAAGACGCUAUCUCAGAGCUACAGUUCCUAAGAGGAGGAUCUUGUUUCAUGACAUAAUAAAAGCCAGGGUCUGGUGAGAUAGCAACAGAAUCCCUAAUUAAGAGACAGGAUACUCUAAGCUUGAACAUGAGCCUCUUGAAAACCGGACCAGACAGCUGUAGUGCUCUCUCGAUGGUAGAACCCUCAGGACAGUUGAAAGGAAGGGAUGUACCACAGCAAUCUGUCAUCAGUGCAACUUCCAGCAAUCUUUGUAGCUAAAAGAGCACAGUGGAUUUUCUUUCUCCUCGUGAAUUUACCUAAUCACUUUCUAAAUCCUGUUUCAUGCAGUACUGUGAGAAUGAUAAUCUAAUUUUGGUCUCUAAGACAUGAAAUACAAAAACAAUAGGAGGCCCAGGAAAGAAUGAAGCCAUUUUGCCAACAGAUACUACAAAAACAUGCAACAAUUAUAGCACAUUGACGAAGAAAAUUACUAAAACCGCUCAUUACAAAAUAACCCAGCAUUUCCUGCUGUGAAAAUGAAUUUGUUACUUAGACCACUUCACUGUUUUUGAUAAAUCACCACCUGUAAUUGCUUUUCUAAGCUCGUGAUAAGGGUAUUUCUCUAUCUGGUGCCAUGAUGUCAAGUUGAAGUCAAGUACCUUUUCAACUGGUCCCAUUGUCUAGGGUUAAAUAGAAAACCUUUCCAAACUCUUCUUCACUCCAAGAUUUUUGUAUCAGUCAUGGAUGAGAAGAAAAAAGACAAAUGUCACCACUCUUUGCCUAGCUGUGAGAAAUUCACUGCCUGUGAAGUUAUGCUACUUGUUCUCUGCUACAAUACUAACUUUCAUGUAUUUUGCAAUCCCUGUCUAUCUCUGUUGUAAUUUCUUGCAAAGUGUUGAAAAUGUAAAGCUCUACACUCACAAUUGCCCCACAAUCUGAUUUACAAACUAAAAGAAUAUACCUGGGCUUUUCUGAGUAUUUUUCUUGCUUACAUAUAGGUGAGAUAUUCCCUUUAACAAAUAAUCCUCAUAUUUAAAAAGAAAACCAACCAACCACGCAUACCAGGUCUAACUUAUGCAUGUGCAGCAUCCUAUUUAAUAAUUUACAGCUGUGCAAAGAACAAGCAGGUGAGUGUAUUCCAUACAGCUGCACAAAGCUCUGCGUAACCAGAGCGGAAACGGAAUGACUGCACGCACCUUUCUAUUUAUCCAGACCUCUAGAAAACGCAAACAGCAAUUUCUAAAGUGAAGCCAAAGCCAUGCAUGCCUCGAGGCCCUUUCCAGAUGGUAUGAAGACGAGCCCUUUUCCCUCCCUUUUACAUGACGUGAUUUUGCUUCCUCUCGGAUCAUCUCAGCCCUACUUACCGUUACACAACGUUUUUUGCACCCAUGUUAACGUUAUUUGCUGCUAAUUCUGAUAUUCUGUCGUUGUCAGUGAAAAUGCUGAAACCCUCCCUGUUCUUGCUUCAUGACGUGUCUCCGAGAUUACACAGCCCUCGAUAAAAAUGUCCCUGGGAAAGGAUAAAAGCGAUUACUGAGCUCAGUGCUUCAGACCCUUAAGCUGCCACCAGGUGCAUCAAAUGUGCCAGUUUUUCUCUUCUGCUUGCUUAACAGAGGAAAAAGCUCAAAAGAACGUUUAUCUGAUGUUCCUCCUGACCCCAAACUAAAGCUGUUAUUGCCUCUCUGAAUCUAUUAUUCCAUUCCCGUAAAGCCAUUUAGUUGCAAAUUCAACACUUUCUUAUUGCAUAUGCCCAUAUAUGCCAUGGUAAAGGCCUGUAACAGGGCAGAUGCAGUUCUGUCCCAAUGACCUCUCUGGUAUUUCUAUAGAAAUGCUCUGUUAAACACCCAGGCGUUUCAACUUCCAGUCACAAGACCUAUAAAAAAUUCAUACACCGAAUCUCUGGUUUCAAACCACAGCUCUGCAUCAUUAAGAGCUUUUCAAUCCUCCCACCCCACAGACGUUAUGAAGAAGGGGGGAGGGCGGCUCUACCUUCCCAGUGCUUAACCCUCACAUCUUCUGCUCCUCCUGCCUGCAAUUUUAACCAGCUCUGGGUGGAGGCUGGCAAACACGUGUGAGCUGCAGAGCACACAACCAGGCUGAUAUCCCAUCACCCCCAACAGAGCUUAAGAACGUGUUCGCAUUUUGAGAUCUGCCCCAAACUUCUCAGCGGGAAGCAGCAAAGGGGCUUCUAAGGAACCCCGGCACCUCCGUGCAUCUCUUGCUCUUUCCAGAGGGCUUUCACUCAGAACCCACCAGCCGG